UGGUGCAAUUCGAGGCCGGGCAGCCCGGGUCAUUCAUGUAGUCACCUCAGAGAUGGACAACUAUGAGCCAGGAGUCUACACAGAGAAGGUUCUGGAAGCCACUAAGCUGCUCUCCAACACAGUCAUGCCACGUUUUACUGAGCAAGUAGAAGCAGCUGUGGAAGCCCUCAGCUCGGACCCUGCCCAGCCCAUGGAUGAGAAUGAGUUUAUCGAUGCCUCCCGCCUGGUAUAUGAUGGCAUCCGGGACAUCAGGAAAGCAGUGCUGAUGAUAAGGGUGAGUAACUGCAUUUCAGACAUCUUAACAGCUUCUUUCUUAUCAUUUGCUAAAGUUGAGCAAUGCGUCAUUCUAGAACUCGGC
rnacentral:sRNA from 1 species